CUGGGUUGAUCAUUCUGUGGUACCGCUGUCUCUGUGCUGCCUCCGCCUCCACUGACGCAGACAAAUGUGCAGAAAUCGGCCAUUAUUUCUCUGAAACGAGCCGCGGGUUGAAAUGACAAAUGAGCACGAUGGAACAGGUAGAUGUCCCUUCAGAGUCUGAAGAAAUCCAGAAGCAAGCAGCAGCCAUGAUCCACAAGUCCAGAGUGAAUAUUAUUAGAAUGAAUCUGAUGAAGAAUAUGGAGUAGAGCUGCUCUGUAUGAGAAGAUGAUUCAGCUCUACAUGAAUGAAACUGACCUGAAGUGAUCAGAAGGCUUUGGAAAAAGGGGAGAAUUCUGAGCAUUUUUCAAAUGUGAUUUAGUGUCAGAGCCUGGAGCCAGUAGUGAUGAGAGGAUUACUGCUGUCAGUGAAGGAACAGAUGAUCUGUUGGAACAGAGAGAACAAGGGAGAAGCUCAGCAGCAGAACCUGAACCACAAGUUAGGAAUGAGACACAUGAAGAUCAAUCAGUUGUUCUGAUUAUUUUGCUCUCAGUCACAGGAUGUAUUUUAAUAAUUCAUACAUUCUGAUGUUGUAGAGAAUAGUGUUGGAGAUUUACCCUUUAACUGAUGUUCUCAUGUUUGUUCAAUCUAAGUUGUGAUGGAACUGAUUCCUUUCAGAGGAAAAAGAGAUGAGAGUGUUUUUAGAAAGUGCAACAUUUUUUAUUUUAUUUCAUUUUUAAGGUUUGGAUGUCUGUGAACAUUUAUUUGAACAGAAUAUAGAUUCUGAUGUUGUUGUAAAGAAUAAUGUUGGAGAUGUGAACUCAUGUUGGAAUAAAUCCUCAUUGUGAAACAACCCUUACUGCACUGAUCUGGAAAUAAUUUACAAAAACACACUGAAUUAUAAGGCUUCACAGAACAGUGCCCUUUUGUAGACUCAACAUGUAAGGUUAUAAUUACAUGAUUUUAUAAGAACAGGUCGUGAUCUAAAGUGGGCCGGUCUGAGGGAUGAAAGUCCAGGACUGAAAAUGAGUCCCACUCCAGCCCUGCUCAGUCAUCAACCCUGAAUAUCUGAAGUGAACAAUACAUUUUCCUUCUGUCUUCACUUUGAUUCCUUUGAGUUUCAUCACGUCUGUUGAGCUGUUGAGGUCUGUUUCCUCUUUAAGCUGCAGGAAGAUGGCUGCUGUGACUCUGACAGGUGAUGAUUUUCUGACUUUAUUUCCUUUAAACGUGUCAAACUAAUGGACUUCACUUCCAGCAGAAGCUCUUUUCUGCUGGAAUCGUUGAUUUAAAUGAAGAAAAACAGCUAAAUGUUGUGCUGAAUGUCAAACACAGUGAACCUCAUGGUCUGACUGCACAGAAGUUCUUGUUGUCUCCGUUCCUCUUGUUUAGAAGCAUUUUCCUCAUUGUGAUGCUGCAUUUAAGUGAGAAACUACAAACAUGUCUGAUUAAAUUAAACUGCAACAACACAGGAAAAAGCUCAUUAAAGAAAUGUUAGUUUGAAGCAGACGACAUCCCACCGUGCUUCUAUUGUUCAUUCUAGGAUGUUUUCUUCUAUUUUUAUACCAGUUCAUUCCAUCUGAUGUGUUUGGUCUGGAUUCACUGUUUCAUUUAUUUUACUUGUAAAUUCUGUUGAACUCUGUUGCUGUUUGUGGACACAUGUGACCUGUUGUUCUGAAGCAGCUGCUGUUAAACUCUGAACAAAUGAACAUCUUCAGGAGAAUUUGAUCUUUUCUGUUUAUUUUCUUCUCCUUCAAACUUUGACCACAACCUCCACAGACUUUCUGCAGAACCACAACAUCUCUGCUGCUGUUAACAGACUCUGACUGUUUGUUUGCUUUUCUAUAAACCAGAUGAGGACAUUCUACAUGAAUACAGACACACUGAUAAAAACAGACUCAUUUUCUCUGAUUUCCUGGUUUUAAUGGCAGUAAAAACAUCUGGACUCUGUUUAACUUGGUGUUAUUCUGAAUGAAGCCUGCAGGGGGCAGAGUAGGACUGAAAUCAGACACAAAGACACAAGAGAAAGAACAAAUCCAGAUGCUGAUCACAUAUUUAGCAGGUUUUCUCCAUGUUUCUGUAAAUAUUUCCUGUAACUGAUAAUAAAUGAUGGGAUCAGAUGUGAACUGAUAUUAAAACAAGGAUCAGUUUUCCAUGAAUUCUAGAUGGAAGCAGAAGAACAACAAGCUGACACUGCAGAGAGAGAAACAAAUUAAAAACAGUUCAAGUCUGAAGAAAAACUCUGUUCAGUGGCAAAAAAAAAAAAAGAUUUAUUUAAUGAAAUACAAGAUUACUGAAGAAAACCUGAAGACAGUCGACACAUGAAGUUUGAAGAACAGCAAAAGGAGGUGAAACUAAAAACUGACUUUAACCUGUAGAAGACGUUUUGUUCUGAUUGUUUUAAUGUUGUACAUAUUUCUGGUCUUCUCUGUUGUAUCUUCUGUUCAUUACAACUUUGAUAAAACAACAAUCCUAAUGAGUUUUCCACAGAACUGAACAUAGAUUUAAUAAAUGUGAAGGAAAAAUGA